GCGAUCAUACCAGCACUAAUGCACCGGAUCCCAUCAGAACUCCGAAGUUAAGCGUGCUUGGGCGAGAGCAGUUUUCCCUUGGCUGCCCUCUUCCGAACUCCUCGUGUUGCACCU
rnacentral:rRNA from 1 species